CUUACCUUCACAUCGAGGAAUUGAUCAUAAAUUUUUUCAAGCUGAAGUAUUGGAGAUGAUGUAGCUAUUUAAGGUAAUCUUUUCACAGUUGUAAUGUAGAACCGCUACUAAACAAUUUGUUUAUAGUUAUAUAUCUAGAAUUAGUUACAUGAAGUUUAUAUUACCCUUCUACUUUAUGCUUAAACAUUGCAAGCGCUGUUGGUAAAGUAUGAACAAAUUAUUACAUUGGCUAGACAUGAGUAGAUAAUAUUUUUAUAAAAGGAGUUAGACUGACAUGCAUAGUAGGUUAAAAUUUUCGGAACCCAAAUCACCAAGUGAUGUUAAGGUUAGGCUCCAAACUUAGCCAUGUGGCACAAUAUGGCGAAAUAUUAGUGGUUGGCUCUCAAGACAGUAGUACUCACAUAAGGUGGUGACCAUUCAUGUAAUGGAGAGUUGGGCAUGAUGGAACCUGCGAUUCAUCUUGGUUUGAAGAAGAGAGACAUAUAGAUUAAUGGUUGAUGAGGGUAGAUAUGAUGUGGUCUUUCAUUCUGAGGAGGGAUUUUUGUGAUAGUGAGAACAAAAUAUCACGUUGGCUAGACAUGGAAUGGAUAAUUUUACGAGGAAGUUGAGCUAAUCCUUCUAAUCGGUUAACCUUUGAGAUGGAAUCUCACUACUGAACAAUAGUUCAUGAUUGAAUAAUUAUUGUAUAUUCGCUUUUUUUUUGUAUUCUAUUUUUUCUUCCAUUCCUUUGUGUAUAAAAAAGGAGCUAAAAAGGUGAAAGAAUGGGAAAAUACAGAGAGAAUCGAACUCUCUUUUCUUUUGUGUUCUGUAAAAAACUGAUUGAUGUUUGUACAUUGAUUCUGUUUAUAGAAUUAGCUAUCAAAUUGCUAACUACAACUAACUGCUAACUAAUAGCUGUAACUAUUUAUUCCAGCUCAUCUUUUCUAACUAACUUCAACUGCCUGUAACUACAGCUUCAACUUUAGUUUUUGUUUCAGCUUCAGCCACCGAUUUUGCUUCAACAAGUUGUUGAGUUGUAAUAUCACCCUUCAAGAUGGACUUGUGCAAAUCAAUGAUUCCCAUCUUGUUAAGUAAGAAAGAAAACUGAUCUGCUCCCAAAGCUUUAGUCAGAAUAUCUGCCAGUUGGCGUUUAGAGGAAACAUAAACUGUUUUAAUCAACCCCUUCUGUAAUUUUUCUCUCACAAUGUGACAAUCUAUAUCUAUAUGUUUCGUCCUCUCAUGGAAAACUGGAUUGGAGGCUACAGGCAAGGCUGCUUUAUUGUCACAAUACAUUAAUGCAGGCUUUAAAUGGUCCACACCAUGGUCAUUGAGUAUUCUAAUAGUCAAAUCACUUCACAGCAGGUGGUAGCCAUUGCUCUAUAUUCGGCUUCAGCUGAUGACCAUGACACUGUUGUUUGCUUUUUAGAUUUCCAUGAAAUCAACGCUUCUACAAGAAAAACACAGUACCAUAUUACAGAUUGCCUGCUAUCUAUACAUCCUGCCCAGUUUGCAUCGCAAAAAGCCUUUAAUUGCAGAUCAAAUGUGCUUGACAGAAAAAUUCCUUGUGUUGGUGUAUGCUUAAUAUAUCUCAGAAUUCUGUGCACUGCAUCCAAGUGAGGCUGUCUUGGUGCUUGCAUAAACUGGCUAAGUGUCUGAACAACAAAUGCGAAAUCAGGUCUCGUGAUGGUUAGGUAUAUUAGCCUACCAAUUAGUCUUCGAUAUUCUGUAGGAUUGGCUAAUAACUGCCCCUCCUCACGAGACAAUUUCAAAUUUUGUUCCAUAGGAAAAUUGGAAUGACCAGCUCCAGUAAGACUCGAAUCUUGCAGUACAUCAAGUGCAUGCUUGCGUUGUGAAAUAGAAAAUCCAGCAGAAGAUUGAGCAAUUUUCAAGCCUAGAAAAUACUAGAUAGUGUGCCAAGAUUUUUAAUUUUAGAAGUUGAGUGCAGAUAGACUUUGAGAGCAUCAAUGCAAACCAGAUCGGGACUUGCAACAACUAUGUCAUCUACAUAAACUAGCAACACAUGAAUGUGGUAGAGUUUUGUAAAGCGAAUACGGUAUGAUCAUGUUGGGACUGAGUAAAACCAUAACUUAGGACACUUUGUGAGUAAAUUUGAGAUUCCACUAUCUAGAUACCUGCCGUAGGCCGUAAAGUGACCUUUCAAGUCUACAAACUGAAUUAGGAAGAAAUGAAGAGUAACCAGGUGGUAGAUUCAUGAAGACUUUCUCAUCUAAUUUACCAUUUAAAAAAGCACUAUCAACAUCGAGCUGAUGCACAUGCCAAUUUCAAGCAGUAGAGACAGCUAGUAAUGUUCUCACAGUUACUAGCUUGGCAAAAGGUGAAAAAGUGAUUGAAAAAUCCAACCUGUCAAUUUGAGUGUAGCUUAGCAUAUAACGUUCCACUGUCCCAUUAGAUCGAAUUAGAUCUUAUAUAUCCAUCGACAACCAACAGAUUUCUUGCCAGGAGGUAAGGUAAUUAAUUCCCAAGUCUGAUUCGCUUCAAGGGUGUCUAUCUCAACUUGCAUAGCCUUUCUCCAAUGCUCAAAUUUUACAGCUUGUUAGUAGUGUGUGGGCUCAAAGGUAGUAGAAACUGAGAGGCUAAGUGAUGCGGACAUCAUCCCCAUUUUAUCUUUUACUUAUUUAUUUUGGGCUUAUGUCUUUUACUUAUUUAUUUUGGGCUUAUGUCUCAUUAGGCUUGUAUAUGGGUUUGGCCCAAGCCCCCAAGUUAUUGUUUUGUUAUUUAUGUUAUUGUAAUUGGGAUUGAAAGUUAGUAGAUGAUGAAUGAAUGAAUUGUUGCCUUCCACUCCACUGUCUUCUCUCUUCCCCCUCUUUCUUCUUUCACGUUUUCCCUUCUCUUUCCCUGGCUUCUUCCUCUUCUGCUGUUUCUUCCUACAUCAGAUUUUGGUAUCAGAGCUAAUGCUUGGGAACUACUUUAUCUACACAGACAAUUUCUGUAUACACACCAAUCUGCCGCACUGUCCACCAUUCAUGCCUCAGCGUCCAACAACAAAUCCGACUUGCAAAUAGUUUCCUCACCAUCUUUUCCACCGCCACCAAGUUCUCUAAAUCUGUAACAAAUCUAGGCAGCCUCCUAACAUAACAAAUCCAUCCCUGCAAACCACCCUAGAAAAACCAGACACCCCCAAAUACAUGCACAGCAUCCCAAUCAAACAAGGUAACCAUUAAACCACCACAUACAAAAUAACCGCCCACAAUCAUUUAAAUCGUAAUAACCCACCUCACAGUCAACCCCCAAAAGCUCGUUUUCACAAACAAUAACCACCUCUCAAGCAAUGAUUCGACCCCAAGCUUCCGAACAACGCCCAACAGCCUAUUCCUCAUAAGUCCACCAUCUAAAACCGUCGCCUUUCAAUAACCCACCACCAUACGAUUAUCUCAUACAGUUAGCCCAUCCUCCGAAUUAUCACCUCACAAUUUAUACUCAUGAAGCCACCAAAUCAACAGAUAUUAAGCUCUAAUCAUACAAUACCCAUAAUCCAAACUCAAUCGCGAAUUCACCGUCGAAGAAGCCGGCCACUGCUGCUGGAAAUCGGCCCUCUAUUGACGCAGGAACCAUUCCUUUCCAUAGCCGAUGCACAAUCCACAUUGCAGAUCACCACUCUAGUCACCAACCCAUCGCACCGACUGAAUCACACAAAAAAAAACUGACACCAACCGCUGGUCACCUUCACAGCGACGAAGCCUAUAAUCACUGCAUCCUCCAUUCAACCCCAGAUCUCCUGCCGAUUGCUGAAUGCAGAACUGUCGAGCGGUUUAGACAGUGGAAGUGGGUAUUUAAUUCAAUUGGGCUCUCUUAUGGUUUGCAUUUGGGCCUCACUUUGUGUAUUUUGAAGAUUAGGCCUCAAUUGAUAUGUACACGGUAGACUAAUUAGUAGUUUUGGGUAUCUUAUUAAUGUUUGGGCCUUGAAUUGUAACAGUUUUGCUUAUCUGAUUUUUAAGUUAAAAAAAAAUAAAAAAAAGAGUUAUUUUUCUAACAUCGUUUUUCAGGUGCCUCUUUCAUUCCAAUUGAUUGGACGCAGCUUCUUCGAAUGAACGAAAGGAAAGUCAUUGUUUAAAUUUAUCCUCAGUUAUAUUGCUGUUUAUCUUGAAUUGCAUCGAUUAACUUUUGUGCUGUAGUCUUUACAUAAAACUCACAUGACUAGACCCUAUAUCUGUUAACUCUUCGACUUGUUAUAUUUUCGCAUUCCUCCCAUUUAUUUUACGUGAUUGUGUCCUUGACUAGUGUUUGACCACUGCUUUAUUAUUUUGCAUAGACUAGCAGUAUCAGCUUGACACAUUUGAAUUUUCAUAAUUUCAAAAAAAAAAAUAAAUAAAUAAAAAUAAUAAAUAAUAAAUAAAUAAAUAAAUAAAAUAAUUUAAAUGCUGAAGUUGUUAUUUUCAUUUCUUGAACCAGUUGUUUAUUUGAUCUCGUCAAUCAUCGCAUUAGGUUAGUGUUACGUUGCAUGCAUUUGCAUAGUGGUCGUUUUGUCAUACCAAAUUCCAAUACUGUGACCAUGGACCCAUCUCAAUUUGAUGCCCUUACUCGACAAUUAGCUCAACUACAGGCUCAAUUAACAACCGUCCAAACCGAGGUGACUACUACUCGUGAGGAGAGUAGAGAACUAGCUGCUAGGGCGAACAAUUUAGAGCAAACCUCCCCCUCAACCGACGCUGAUAACUAUGAAGCGUCUCAUAACAUAUCCUAUCGUCGUCGACAUGGUGGUCGACAGCGUGUUCGUCGUGAACGAAGGAAUGGGGGACAGGAGCGCAUUCAUGAACGAGGCCAUGACCCUUAUGGAACUCAUUCACCUCCUCGCUAUGAGGAGUGUUACUUUCGAAACAUUAAAUUAGACGCUCCUACUUUCGAUGGCUGUUUAGAUCCUAGAGUUUUUACACAAUGGGUUAGAGACAUGGAUCGCUUCUUUUCAUGGUAUGGAGUACCGGAGGAUCGAAGAGUUCAAUUUGCCAGUUUGAAAUUAACUGGUACUGCCCAAUUCUUUUGGGAAAGCGUUGAGGACCUUUUUGAAAGGCGUCAUGCACCUCCCGUUGGAGGUUGGGGGGAAUGAAGCGCCGCCUUCAAGAGAAGUAUUUGCCCCAUUCUUAUAGGAGCAAUUUGUUGGACCAAUGGAAUACCCUCACACAAGGAAACCGUCCAGUGACUGACUAUGUUACUCAAUUUGAUGAGUUCCGAAUGCGAUGCCACAUCGUCGAGGAUGAAGCUAUGACUUUAAUUAGGUUCAGACAAGGCCUACGAGAUGAUCUUCGGCGUGAGCUUGUCCUUCGAGGUGUCACCACUCUCGAUCACGCUUAUUCCUUAGUUCGAGAUUACGAGUCGAUUACUAAAACUGCGUAUGGAAGGCGUAGUGAUAAUCGUCCAUCCAUCUCAUCGGCACCACCUCCUCCCACCAAAUCUCUUCUUGGACCCUGGUGCCUCGAAUGAAGCGCCUAUAAAAAGUUGCUAAUCCAUGAAAGCUCUGUACUUCUCGCACGGUUUUAGGAGUUGGCCAUGCGCGUAUUGCUUUCACCUUUGCCUCAUCAACUUGAAUACCAUAUUUUCCCACCAUAAAACCAAGAAAUAAAAGUUGGUCGGUCAUAAAGUUGCACUUUUUGAGAUUAAUGUACAAUUUAUUUUUCUGAAGGGCUGAAAAAACUUCUGUAAGAUGUGCUAAGUGCUCAUCUUCAUUUUUGCUGUAAAUAAGAAUGUCAUCAAAAUAAACCACCACAAAUGGACGAAGAACUUGGUUCAUCAAUCGCAUAAAUGUGCUCGGUGCGUUUGAUAGCCCAAAUAACAUCACUAACCACUCGUAGAGACCAUCUUUUGUUUUAAAAGCUGUUUUCCACUCAUUGCUAGGGUGUAUACGGAUUUGAUGAUAGCCACUCCUUAAAUCAAGCUUGGUAAAUAUCACUGCACCUUCCAACCUAUCGAGCAUAUCAUUGAGACGCGGGAUGGGAAAGCGAUACUUGAUUGUUAUUUUAUUAAUGGUACGACUGUCUAUACACAUUCGCCAACUGCCAUCCUUCUUUGGAAUGAGUAAAGCAGGAACUGCACAAGGACUCAUACUUUCGCGGAUUAACCCCUUAUCAAGUAAUUCAUUAACCUGUCGCUGCAACUCUUUGUGUUCUGCUGGGCUCAUGCGAUAAUGUGGCAAGUUAGGUAAACUAGCUCUAGGUGCCAAAUCAAUAUGAUGUUGGAUAUUUCGCUUCGGGGGCAACUCGUUUGGUAACUCGUCGAGUGCUAUUUCGGCAAAAUCAGCAAGUACUUUUUGAACUUUGGUGGGAAUUUGUAUAGUUACUUCUGAUGGACCUUUAACAACCAAGGCCAAUACUGUGUGAGGCUCUUUUACUUAUUCCAAGAAUUCUGGGCUUGAGAUGUUGGUAAAAAGUGGUUUCUCUUCCUUGAUGGCAAGAUUGGUUUCCACAGGUUGAGAUUGUGGUACCAAAACGAUCUUCCUAUUUAACCACCAAAAUAUGAAAGUAUUAUCUCGCCCUUUAUAAGUGGCAUCAACAUCAUAGUGCCAUGGACGACCCAAUAAAAUGUGACAAUCAUCCAUAUCCACAACAUCACAUAUAAUUUCAUCCUUGUAAUAUUUUCCAAUUGACAAAGAAACCUUACAAAUCUCUAAAACUUGAACUUCCGGGCCCCUUUUAAUCCAUGCAAUCUUGUAUGGCGAAGGGUGUCUCUCGGUCUUCAGAUUUAGAGCCUUUACCACUGCUUUCGAAAUGACAUUCUCACUGCUACCGCUGUCCAUGAUCACAUUGCAUACCUUAUUACGAACAGUGCAUCGAGUCCUGAAGAUCUUGUGUCGUUGCAAGGUAUCUAGCCUUUUUGGAGCAAGCAAAAGGCGUUGGAUGAUGCAUGCCAAUUCUUCCCCUGUAUCUACAUUUGCAACAUCACCACCUUCAUAAUCAUUGUCUUCAAGAUUUUGCUCUUCCCCACUGUCGUCUUCUUCUGCAAAGUUAAUAGAUCGUCUGUCUGGACAGCUAUUUGAAAGAUAACCUGGUUGAUUGCACCGGAAGCACUUUCCCAGAUUAGGACAUGCAUAAGGGUCAUUAUUGGCUCGUGACUGUAUCUGAUUUCUGCCUUGGGUGUUAGAUCGAACAGGAGCAGAAGUUCCUCUUUGAUUUUGUGUUGAAUUUUGGACUGGACUAGCAUCCUUGUGGUUAUUGUUGUUGUUAUUUGAGGUUGUUGCACCCUUUGGAGUAGUAUAAGUUUCUUGAAUUGGUCGUAGAAAAUUUCUUGGAGUACGGGCUGUAGUUCUAUUCAUCUGAUUUUCCACUUUCAUUGCUAAAUUGAUUGCAUCUGUCAUGGUCCAAAUCUCUUGAAGGGCCGGUCGAUCUUGAAUGACUAAUUUCAAGCCUCCUAUAUAACGAGCAAUUAAUUGAGCUUCAGUUUCAGACAAAUUAACUCGAGCAUUUAAUCGAUAGAAUUCCUCUGUAUAUUCAUUUACUGUCCUCUUAUUCUGUCGACAAUUCUGAUACUGCUAGUACAAAAAUUGUUCAUAAUCCAGAGGAAGGAAUCGCCUUUGCAACAAGCGUUUCAUCUUGGGCCAGGUUUGCACAAGUUGCUUUCCUUGUCUUUGACGAUUAAAUUGUAAUUCUUCCCACCAUGCAAAGGCUCCACCUUUUAAUUUGUACGCUACUUGUUUAACUUGACUUUGUUCCAAAAUAUUUAAAUAGUUGAAAAAAUUUUCAACAGUGUGGAUCCAAUCCAAAGAAUCUUCAAUAUUUAAUCGACCGUCAAAACUUGACAAGUCCAUCUUCAUCUUAAAUUUUUGAACAUUGGGACCUCUAUUGUUAGCCCUUGGUCGAAAAUUUUCUUCUUCUUCGGAUGAAUAGUUGAACCCACGUGGCCGUCUUUGUUGAAGACUCCUAUCUCUUGGUUGCCGAACAAAAUUAAGUCCUCGAUCAAAAUUACCUCUCCGGUCAAAAUUAAUGCCUUGGUCAAAAUUGUUGGCUUGGUCAAAAUUGAUUCCUCUUCCAUAAUCAUCCAACCCGUCACGCUAGUUUCCAACAUUGCGCCCAGUUUGACGAGGUUGUCCACCGGUUCCAGCAAACUCUCCCACUCCUUCGCCCAAAACUUCUCGACGGUGUUCGCCGUCAUCACUCCGGUCAAGGGGCUAUUUGUUCCGCCUUUCAUAAACCUGUAAGGGUACGGGGAUUGCUUCGCGAAAGUCGCGAUCUGCAACCAUAUUUCUGCGCACACCACGCCCAUCGGACCCUAGUCCAUCACGCCUUGCGCCUCUUCUGCCUACACUGGUCCUCCUCGCUGCCGGCGUGGGUUAUUAAUGUAACGCCCCGAAUUCUAAUAACCCGAAACGUUACGAAACAUGAAUAUACCUUGAAAUAAACAGUUUUAAUAUAACGAGAAAUUCUGUAAAAGAUUGAAUAACAUUUAAUCAAAAGAUAAAUUUAAAUAUGCGGAACGUUUGAAAAUAUAUCAUUCAUCCAAAAAUUAUUAGAACAGUUAAAACUAAUUGAAAAUUUAUAAUGCACUCACAAUUGGGUCAAAAAUGAAUAACUCAUUAUUAGUUCUAGUGUUUUUGAAAAUUAAAAUAUUUCAUGACGAGGAUCCGUUGGUCCAAUAGCAAAUCCAUCCACCGCCGUCCAACAUAGUAAUUAUUACCUGAAAAUUGUAAAUAAGGGGAUGAGUAUAACGAAUUAUACUCAAUGAGAUACUUGUUACUCCACAUUCAAGUCAAACAUGAAAUUACAAAUAAAUUAUCUUACCAACAUAACAUGAGAAUUAUCACACCAUGACAAAUUAUAAUUCUAGCAAGCGCUGCAAAAUAACGUGAAGGCUAAAUUGUGCCUUAAAAUGUAUCAUGAUUUCUCCCGAAGGAGCCUGAAUUGAAGUAAUUAAAUUCAUAAUAACGUAUUUGAAAAGAUGUGGAAAAAUCACUAAUAGCAAUGAGUAUCCCACCCUUUGAAGAUGAAAGUGGAGAAUAAAAUUGCAGAAAUGUGAUUGCAAUUCCAAAGCCUUAAAAAAUCUAAAUAAUAUAGAGGAAUAUUUUAAAGAGGGAGAGGUAAUGGACGUGUAGUAGAAUGUGGUUUUAGUGCUCUAUUUAUACUGUUGAAGUCGGGUAAUCACGUGGGGGAAGUGGAAUUUCUGCCAUAUUUAAAUUCGUAUUUCAUGCAAUUUUCUGAGAAAUUGAUUCAUAAUUCCCGAUUGAUAUAGUAUGACUGGAGAUUAAUUAUUGGUUUUCUGCCAAUUUCUAUAUCAAUUACAAUUACAACAAGGAAAUGAUAGGUAUUACACUGCAUGACUUUUACACGUGGACGGGGAAAACAAAUCUGCCUCCUAUUUGCAUAAUUUACUCUAAUACAAACAUCUUAAAUUGUCAAUCUCCUAAUGGUCGAAAAUUAUAAAAUGUAUGCUUAUUAAUUAAAUUAGAAUUUUAGUCCAAUCGUCCCAAAAUUUGUUCCAAUUAGGGGACACAAUGAUUACUAAUUAUAUGGACACGUGAAAGUUGUAAUGAAAUGCAUGGGUUACUCAUGUACUAAAGUCUAACAUCAAAUAAUUCAAAUUCCUUUGAUUUGCAUUUAACUAAAUUUGUAAGCAGGAAUUACGUUUUAAUUGAUUACCUCUUAAUUAAAAAAUGUAUAAUUAUUAAUACUUAACAUAAAGACUUUGUUUAACCAAAACUUAAAAUUCUAAUUUAUUUAGCUAAACUAGUGGUGGCAGUCAACUGGCGAAAAAUCUAAUCAUUUAAAACUCUUAUAACCAUAAUAUUCUUUAGACGGCUAAAACUCGGGUUUAACUUGACCAAAUUAAAUUUUUCUUGAGUCCAUAAUUCGCCAUUUAUUAUAAGCUUCAAAAUGAAUCCAAUAUUGGUAAAGUAAUUCUAACUCAUUCAAUAGUUAACUAUUUGACCCAUUUAAUAAAGUAUAAAAUAAUUUGAUAUUUAUUUAUUUUUUUUCAAUUUGGUCCCUCAACUAAUAAGAUAACUAUAGAGAUAAUCAAUUAACUUGCAUAAGAACUUAACCAAACAUUGCAUUCCUAUUAAAUGACAAAUAAAAAUAUAUGCGAAUUUAAGUUAAAAAUUCGGGAUUCUACAACUAACAUGGGGUUGGCGUCGUUUACCCAAGCCUGGUUCAUCGUGAAGGUGGACUACUGAGUGUGAAUCCAUGCCUGCUGCAACCCUUUGAUUUCUUACAUCCAGGUGAACACCUUCUUCCUUGCUGUAAUCUGAUUCAUCUCCUUGUUGUCGGAUUUCUGUCCAAUUUGAUUGUUUCUCCUUGGGUUCGAGUCUGUACUUCACAGUUAAUGCAGUCACCAUCUGCGUGAGAUUGCAAAGAGCCUCGUCGAUCCCCUCGAUUCGUUGUUCGAGUUUGUCGAGCCUCCGUUCAUCGUCGAUCGUCCGACUACCUCUAGUACCUUCGUCGGCCAUCGGAUUAAGGUGAAUUCCUUGCUCUGAUACCAAUUUUGGUGGGGAAACGUGUUUGAAUUCUUGUAAUAAGAAUUAUAAUGAAAGAAAUAUGAAACGAUAUAGGAAUAAUUUGCUUUAUUGAUUGAAUAAUGAAUAAUUGAUUGAAAAUUGUACAAUAGCUUCUAUUUUUAUAGGCAGAUUAUUCCUAUUCCUAACAAUACUAGGAAAUUGAAAUAAGGAAACUAGUGAACUAAUAAAACUUUAUUCUAAUUAAAACUCUCAAUAAAAUAAAAGUCCUAACACAAGAAAAGAAACUCUUAGAAAAUAUAAAAUAUAAUUGUAGUAGGAAUCCUAUUGUAGUUGUACUACAUCAGACCCCCACCGUCUAACGCACUUCCUGCUUUAGACAAUAAAGGUAAAGCUCCGAAAACUUCAAGAACCUCUUCUCGUUUGCAAUGCUUCAAUUGUAAGGGCUUUGGCCACAUCUCCUCUAGAUGUCCGAGCUGAGCCUUAGUUAUUGACGAGCGAAAAGAUGUCGUUGAUGAGCCUUUAGAAGAUCAAGUCUAUGAGUCUAACUUUGAAGAGUUUGACAAUUUGGGUGAUAAUGAGGAUACCUGCUCAGGUUGCUUUCAUACCCUUCAUGUAGGUCUAGGUCCUACUUAUCUGGCCCCCGACACAUCUCGGUUAAGUGUUGUACGUUGUACCCUUAUCCAACCUAAGGAUGUCGAUGAUUGGCGCCGUCAUGCUAUUUUUCAUACUUAUAUCAAGAUCAACAAUAAAGGUUGUAAGAUUAUUGUUGAUAGUGGGAGCUGUAUUAACACGGUCUCUGUGACCACAGUAUCCCGUCUUGGAUUGAAGUCAGUCCCGCACCCCCAAUCAUAUAGCGUCUCCUGGGUUGACACUUCUUCUAUAGCUGUGAAAGAGCAUUGUCUGGUGCCUAUCCAAUUUCUUGGGUAUAAGGAUCAUAUAUGGUGUGACGUUAUCCCUAUGGAUGUUGGGCAUGUCAUUCUUGGUCGACCUUGGUUGUUCGAUCUGGAUGUAACUAUCCAUGGGCGAUCAAAUUCAUGUUCUUUUGUAUUUAAUGGAAAGAAGAUUCACCUUAAUCCUUUAUCACCAAAAUCUGUUGACUUACACCAAGCCAAAAAAAUUGUCGAGAGGAAAGGAUUACAUGUGAUUAGCCCGGCAGAAAUUGAACGGACAAUCGUAAAUGACUCAAUCGUAUUUGCUGUGAUUGUUAUGAAAGUCCCGUUCGAUCCCCCAAUAGCAACCCCUACUGAAGCCCAUUCACUCCUUCAGGAAUUUAAGGAUGUAUUUCCUGACGACCUCCCUGAUCUACUGCCUACCUUACGGGAUAUUCAACAUGCUAUAGAUCUGGUUCCAGGUUCGUCUCUCCCAAACUUGCCUCACUAUAGAAUGAAUCCUGCUGAACAUGCCGAGCUCUAGAGAUAAGUGGGUGAACUCUUUCACAAAGGCUUCAUUUGUGAAAGUUUAAGCCCUGGUGCAGUGCCCGCCCUCAUGACACCUAAGAAGAAUGGUUCUUGGAAGAUGUGCGUUGAUAGUCGCGCUAUCAAUAAAAUCACUGUCAAGUAUCGUUUUCCCAUCCCUCGACUUGAUGAUAUGCUAGAUAUGAUGGCCGAUGCCACAAUCUUUUCCAAAAUCGAUUUGAAGAGUGGGUGUCAUCAGAUUUGGAUCCGCCCAGGAGACGAGUGGAAAACUGCAUUUAAAACGAAAGAUGGCCUAUACGAGUGGUUGGUAAUGCCUUUUGGACUAACCAAUGCUCCAAAUACUUUUAUGAGGGUGAUGACACAGGCCCUUCGGCCUUUCAUGGGCAAAUUCAUUGUCGUAUACUUUGAAGACAUCCUCGUGUACAGCAAAACAAGGGAACAAUAUCGAGAUCAUCUCACGCAAGUUUGCUCUACAUUGCGUGCAACAAGCUUGUAUGCCAAUGUGAAGAAAUGUUCUUUCUUCACGGAUACAAUUGUGUUUCUCGGAUUUGUUGUUUCCGCUACGGGAGUAUCUGUUGAUCCUGCAAAGAUUCGGGCAAUUGUUGAGUGGCCAGAUCGCAAGAAUAUACAUGAUAUUAGGAGUUUUCAUGGUUUAGCUACCUUUUAUCGUCGUUUCAUCAAGAGAUUUAGUACGAUCCUGGCUCCUAUCACAAAGUGUAUGAAGAGAGGAGAAUUUCAUUGGACGCAGGAAGCGGUUAAGGCCUUUCAGUUAAUCAAAAGGCAAAUGACAGAGGCUCUUGUCAUGCGACUCCCAGAUUUUUCCAAAGUUUUUGAGGUCAAAUGUGAUGCGACAAGGGUAGGAAUAGGUGGAGUCUUGAGUCAAGAACGCCAUCCUAUUGCUUAUUGUAGUGAGAAAUUAAAUGAUGCCAAGCAACGGUACUCGACUUAUGAUAAGGAGUUAUACGCAGUUGUACAAGCCUUGCGCUAUUGGCGUCAUUACUUAUUACCCCACGAAUUUGUCCUCUUUUCUAACUAUGAGGCUCUUCGUUUCCUUAAUUCCCAGAGACGAUUGAAUUCUCGGCAUGGCCGCUGGAUCGAAUAUUUACAAGCCUAUUCUUUUGUCUUAAAGCAUAAGAAGGGUGUUGAAAAUCAAGCUGCUGACGCUUUAAGCCGUCGCAUCUCCUUCUUGUCCGUCAUGAGUGUUAAGGUUCUAGGGUUUGAAAGACUUAAGGAAGAGUACGAGUUAUGUCCCGAUUUCAGGGACAUUUUUCUUGCUUUGCAUAAUGGGGAGUUGGACACCACUGAUGGUUUCCGUUUAGAGGAGGGCUAUCUUUUUAGAUCCAAUAAGUUGUGCAUCCCCAGGAUUUCAGUGCGAGACUUUAUAGUGUGGGAAAGUCAUGCUGAUGGGUUGGCUGGACAUUUUGGGCGUGAUAAGACCAUAGAGGAAAUUGAACAUCAAUUAUAUUGGCUCAGUUUAAAGACUGACGUGGCCAAGAUUGUUGGCACAUGUAACACCUGUCAACGAUCUAAGCACAAAAGGCAGAACACAAGCCUCUACACUCCUCUCCCCGUCCCUAGUUGUCCUUGGUAAGACGUUAGUAUGGAUUUCGUGCUAGGGUUGCCACGUACUCUAAAGAAACACGACUCCAUUUUUGUUGUCGUAGAUCCCUUCUCAAAAAUGGCACACUUUAUUUCCUGUAGCAAGACUUCCGAUGCAUCUAAGGUUGCUAAGUUAUACUUCCAUGAGAUCGUCAAGCUGUAUGGCCUCCCUAAGACCAUUGUCUCUGAUAGGGAUGUUCGUUUCACUAGCCAUUUUUGGCGAACCCUAUGGAGUAUGGUUGGCACUAAACUAAAAUUCUCUACUGCAUAUCACCCACAAACGGACGGUCAAACUGAGGUUGUUAACCGCAGUCUUGGUAAUCUAUUAAGAUGUUUAGUCCAGGAAAAUCUUAGGAAUUGGGACUUAAUUUUUCCUACUGCCCAACUUGCAUAUAACAGUUCAGUGAAUUGAUCUAUAGGUAUGAGUCCUUUUGAGAUUGUUCAUGGUUUUAAGUCUAGGAAGCUGUUAGACCUUAUUCCUAUGUCUCCACAUGCUAGUGUGUCUGUGUCAGUUGAGUCUUUUGCACAACAUCUGCGUGACUUGCAUAUUGAGAUCAAUAAACAGCUAGAAGCGAGUAAUGCAUUAUAUAAACUUCGAGCUGAUUUGCACAAACGCCAUGUUGAAUUUAAUGUUGGGGAUUAUGUUAUGAUUCGAAUUAGACCGGAACGGCGUCCAUCUGGGCCUGCUUCUAAAUUGCAAACUCAUAGUGCUGGUCCUUUUAAAAAUUUAAAGCGUGUUGGCCCAAAUGCUUAUGUCAUUGACUUACCAUCACAUUUUGGCUACCACCCUACCUUUAAUGUUAAAGACUUAGUUGCUUACAAAGGUCAAUUUCACCCCGCUGAUGAUCCUUUCACACCUCCAUCUCUGGACCCUCAUCCUGAACAUGUUAUUCCUGCCCCAAUUCCACCUGCUGCAGCACAUAAAGAUAAAAUUGAUGCUAUUCUAGAUGCACAGACUAUAUUAACCAAGGAUAGAGACAUUCAGCGCUUCCUUGUUCGUUGAGAGGGCCGUCCUGAUUCUGAUUGUACUUGGAUCCCCAAAGAGACACUUCAACAGCUUGAUCCUGACUUGUUGGAGAAUUAUAGGAGUCAACAAGAUCUUCCUCUACCCGGACCACCAUCUUUGCGUGUCUAUAGAUGUCGAAAGAAGUUUGCUCAACCGAUCAGUUUGUGGCUAGGAGAUUGACAGCAGCCUUUUGUGACCUACCUCCUCGACGAGGUCGAGUUUUUCUCCCACCCCGGGAGAGUUGAUGCGGACAUCAUCCUCAUUUUAUCUUUUAGUUAUUUAUUUUGGGCUUAUGUCUUUUACUUAUUUAUUUCGGGCCUAUGUCUCAUUGGGCUUGUAUAUGGGUUUGGUCCAAGCCCCCAAGUUAUUGUUUUGUUAUUUAUGUUAUUGUAAUUGGGAUCGAAAGUUAGCAGAUGAUGAAUGAAUGAAUUGUUGCCUUCCACUCCUCUGUCUUCUCUCUCCCCCCUCUUUCUUCUCUCACGUUUUCCCUUCUCUUUCCCCGGCUUCUUCCUCUUCUGCUUUUCUCUUCUUCUGCUGUUUCUUCCUACAUCACUAAAACUUGAAAUGGAAGGUGAUAACUUGUUGUACUGUAGAGAUGUAGCUAUAUCAUAAGGAGUACUAACCUUAUUUGAACCACCUGAACACAUGGAUUGAGGAUGAGCUGAGCAAGAAAGGAGAUUGCAAUGAUACUAUUCAAGGUAACUAGAAGUGUUCCUGACUUUAGACCUGCGAGGUAUAGGUGUAGAAGAGGGCCCAUUUGAAGUAGAAAUGGAAGUAUCCAAUUCUUGAGAGGGAAGAGGUUUAGGAAAAACGAAAGGAUUGUCAUAAGAAACGGAAGAUAAAUCUUUAUAAGGGAAGAUGUGUUCAUGAAAAACUACAUCUCGAGAUAUGAAAGAGGUAUGAAGAUCAAGAUCAUAAAGUUUAUAUCCCUUGACACCAUAAGGAUAUCCAAGAAAUAUACACCUACAAGCUCGAGGAGCAAAUUUUGAACGAUUGUGAGAGAGGGUAGAGGCAAAACAUAAGCUACCAAAGACUCUAAGAUGAGCAUUAAUAGGAGGUUUGGCAUAAAGGAUCUCAAAAGGAGACUUGUGUUGCAACAAGGGAGUUGGUAAACGAUUAAUCAAAUAUGCUGCAGUUAAGACAGCUUCUCCCCAAAAUUGAAGGGGUAACUUGGCUUGAAACAUCGAGCAGGUGCUGAUGUUUGCGUUCGACUACACUGUUUUGUUUAGGUGUAGCAACACAACUCUUUUGUUAAAUAAUUCCUUUUUCAGCACAAAAAUCUUGCAUAUCAAGGUUGGGAGCAUUAUCAGUGCAAAAUUGUUUUAUUUUAACUUGGAAUUGUGUUUCAACGAGAUUAUAGAACCAUUGAAUGUAUGAUCUUGAUUCAGAUUUAUAGUGCAAAAGAUAUAUCCAUGUGGAUCUAGAGAAGUCAUCCACUAAGGUGAGAAAAUACUAUGCACCAUUUAAAGAAGGAUGAGCAAAAGGCCCCCAUACAUCACAAGUACUAACUGAAACACGUGUGUAGAAAAUGUAUCACUAACAAAGAAAGGAUGCCUAUUUUGUUUAGCCAUUGGACAAAUAGUACAAAGGAAUUCUUUAGGACUAGAGAUUACUUUAGAAUUGGAGUUAACAAGACUUUUUAAACAAGUAGGAGACAAGUGACCUAGGCGAAAAUGCCAAAGAUUAAAACAACUUGAAUUUGCAGAGGAAGUAGCACAUGUAGGAGACUGUAGGAAACCUUGACAGAUGAUACAAUCCUCAUUUUUCUUCACCAAUACCAAUCGUCGUCCAUGAGAUAAGGUCCUGAAUAAAGCAGUAACGAGAUAGAAAAAUUAAGCAACUAUUAGAACUAUGUGUGAGUUUACUGGCUGAUAGCAAGUUGAAAGAAAAGGAAGGAACACACAGGACAUUUGUUAAACGAAGUUUAUUUGAAAUGAGAAUAGUGCCAAUAUGAGUAACUCGUACAGAAGCACCAGUAGGCAAUUGAGCAAAAGAAUUUACUUUAGCUGUUAUAGUGUUGAGAAGAGAAGUUGAACACACCAUGUGGUCUGUUGCUCCCGUAUCAAUAAUCCAGGGAGCAUUCGAAAAAGAAGUAGGAGUAGAAGAAAAUGAUGGGCAAUGAUUUAUACAUGUCAUAUUGCAUAAUUUGAAUUGAGGCUGAAAUAAUGGGGUGAGGUUAUCACACUUACUGACCAAAGAAGCGUCAACGGGUGGAGCAUUGAUUGGUUUAAGUAAAUUGAGGAGCUGAUUGUAUUGUUCUUGAGUGAGUGGCAUUGAAGAAAGAUUCUGCUCGCUGGAAGAUGCCAUUGAAUGAACUUGGCUUGAAGAAUUAAUUCCUUUACUCUUGCCUGAUUUAAAACCCUAGAGGAAAACCAAUAAUUCUGAAGCACUUGUCAGUCGUGUGGGACGUAUAACCACUUUCAGCACAAUAUAAUUUUCCUUUUCGAGGGCCAGAUGGCUGCUUGAAUGAACCAGAUGAAUAUUGAGGCAGAGAAGGACCAGGUGCUGUCUUGCUAGCCAUAGCAGCAGAGUCAAACUGAGGAGUAUAAUGACCAAUAUGUAUUUGAGUUUCCUCUUGUAAAAUCAAAGAGAAAACUUUGUUGAGAGAAGGCGAGGGAUCAGAUAACAGUAUUUACCUCUUAAUGCAGCAAAAAUCUCAUUCAGUCCCAUAAGAAAGUGCAGAACGUAAUCUUGAAGAUGAUAAUCCAGUAGAGUUUUAACACCAGGACUGGAAUCAUUAGGUAAAGGACGAUAAUUGAAAUAUUGAUCCCACAAGGUUUUGAACUUGGUGAAAUAAUUAGUCACUGAUGACGAACCUUGAGUAAGAGCGCAGAUCGACCUUUUCAAUUGAAAGAUGUGGGGAGCAUUUCCUUAACUAAAUCUCUCUUCCAUUUCUUUCCACAGGUCAGAUGUAGUAGCAAUAUAAGGAACACUAGCAGCAAUAUCUUUAUUCAAGGAGUUUUAAGAUCCAAGAGCAAACCAUGUCAUUACAACGAAUCCAUGCUUGAUAAGAAGGAUCAGUUGUAGAUGGCUUUGGGAGAUUUCCAUUGAUAAAGCCAAGCUUGUUCUUAGCAGAGAUGGCCAUGGACAUUGAUCUCUUCCAAGGAAAGAAAUUGGAUCCGUUAAGAACUUAAGAAACCCAUACAGUACCAGGACUGUCAUUGUUUGCUAAGAACAAAGGAUUAGAAGAAUCUUCAGCAGCCAUAAUCACAAUCAGCAAAGGAACUAAUAUAGAACGCAGUAGAAGACAUAAAAUUGCUUUGAUACCAUAUCAAAAAAGGAGCUAGAAAAAGGUAAAAGAAUGGGAAAAUCCGGAGAGAAUCAGACUCUCUUUUCUUUUGUAUUCUGUAAAGAACUGAUUAAUGUUGUACAUUGAUUCUAUUUAUAGAAUUAGCUAUCAAAUUGCCAGCUACAACUAACUGCAUUCGAACUGCUAACUAACAGCUGUAACUAUUUAUUCCAGCUCAUCUUUUCUAACUUCAACUGCCUGUAACUGCAGCUUCAACUUUAGUUUUCGUUUCAGCUUCAGCCACCGGUUUUGCUUCAACAAGUUGUUGGGUUGUAACACUGUGUUUCUUUUCAUCUUUUGAUUCAAUUCAGCUUGUGAGCACAUUUAAUCAUGGAACUUUGCACUCAUCAUCUGCGUCUGGUUUUAUGUCCAUUUGUAAGCAAAACUUCUAACCUUUGAAAUGCCUGGUUGGACGUUUUCUUUAUCUUUCCUUUCCUUGUACAAGCAAACGUUGAAUUGCCUCUUCCUUAUGAUGAUAUUAUUUCUCAGAAAUUGCUCAAGAUUAAAAAAACAGUAAAUAUAUUCAAAAAACUGUCUUUGUACUUCCUUUUUGUAGCCAUUCGCGGAAAUUGGUUUCUUGAUUUCUGACACACUAGAUGGAGGGAUCAAGCAAGGAUCACCAGGUACAAAUCAUUCCACGUGGUAGGAAAUUUUGUCUUCUAAUCACUUCUUCGGUUUUGCAAUAUAUUAGAAAGUUUUGUUCUCUGUUCUAUGUUUGGUGUAAAUAAAAUUGUAUCGUUAAUUUAAAUAGUGAAUUUUGUGAGUUGCAUAUUGAGAUACACAUACAAGUUAAGCAAUUUUUCUACGAAAUCUAAAUAUUGC
rnacentral:lncRNA from 1 species